UGGAUGCGCAUAGCAAUGUCUGACGCCAUUCCGAGUCCGGCGGACGAAGUUGGCCAGCCCCACCCCCCAAGGCUAUCGCCCACCCGUUUUUGUGGCCUUUUUCCGCUGGACGAACUUGGCGCCCCGGCCUUCGGGCGGUUAUUUUUGGGCGCGGCUGUGCCCGCGGCCUAUUUUUGGCACACGGAGGCGCCUCGCAAUGUCUCACGCCAUUCCGAGUCCGGCGGACGAAGUGGGCCAGCCCCACCCCCCAAGGCUAUAGCCCACCCGUUUUUGUGGCCUUUUUCCGCUGGACGAACCUGGCGCCCCGGCCUUCGGGCGGUUGUUUUUGGGCGCGGCUUUGUCCACGGCCUAUUUUUAACACGCGGAGGCCCCUCGCAAAGUCUCGCGGCAUUCCGAGUCAGGCGGACGAAGUCGGCCAGCCCCACCCCCCAAGGCUAUAGCCCACCCAUUUUUCUGGCCUUUUUCCGCUGGACGAACCUGGCGCCCCGGCCUUCGGGCGGUUAUUUUUGGGCGCGGCUUUGUCCGCGGCCUAUUUUUAACACACGGAGGCCCCUCGCAAAGUCUCGCGGCAUUCCGAGUACGGCGGACGAAGUUUGCCAGCCCCAGCCCCCAAGGCUAUAGCACACCCGUUUUUGUGGCUUUUUCCGCUGACGGACUUGGCGCCCCGGCCAUCGGGCAGUUAUUUUUGGCGGGGGCUUGCCCCGCGGCCUAUUUUUGGCACACGGAGGCCCCUCGGAAAGUCUCGCGGCAUUCCGAGUCCGGCGGACGAAGUUGGCCAGCCCCAUCCCCCAAGGCUAUAGCCCACCCGUCUUUGUGGCCUUUUUCCGCUGGACGAACUUGGUGCCCCGGCCUUCGGGCAGUUAUUUUUGGGCGCGGCUUUGUCCGCAGCCUAUGUUUGACACACGGAGGCCCCUCGCAAAGUCUCGCGGCAUUCCGAGUCGGGCGGACGAAGUCGGCCAGCCCCAAACCCCAAGGCUAUAUCCCACCCAUUUUUGUGGCCUUUUUCCGCUGGUCGAACUUGGCGCCCCGGCCUUCGGGAGGUUAUUUUUGGGCGCGGCUUUGGCCGCGGCCUAUUUUUUGCACAUGGAGGCCCCUCGCAAAGUCUCGCGGCAUUCCGAGUCCGGCGGACGAAGUCGGCCAGCCCCACCCCCCAAGGCUAUAGCCCACCCGUUUUUGUGGCUUUUUUCCGCUGGACGAACUUGGCGCCCCGGCCUUCGGACAGUUAUUUUUGGACAUGGCAUUGCCCGCUGCCUAUUUUUGGCACACGGAGGCCCCUCGCAAAGUCUCGCGGCAUUCUGAGUCCGGCGGACGAAGUUGGCCAGCCCCACCCCCCAAGGCUAUAGCCCACCCGUUUUUGUGGCCUUUUUCCGCUGGACGAACUUGGCGCCCCGGCCUUCGGGCGGUUAUUUUUGGGCGUGGCUUUUCCCGCGGCCUAUUUCUGGCACAGGGAGGCCCCUCGUAAUGUCUCGCGGCAUUCCGAGUCCGGCGGACGAAGUUGGCCAGCCCCACCCCCCAAGGCUAUAGCCCACCC
rnacentral:lncRNA from 1 species